GACGAACGCUGGCGGCGUGCUUAAAACAUGCAAGUCGAACGGACUUCUCAUGAAGCUUGCGAUUGAGAAGUUAGUGGCGGACGGGUGAGUAACGCGUGGGCAACCUGCCCCUGAGCCCGGGAUAACAGUUCGAAAGGACUGCUAAGACCGGAUGUUCUUGCAGAGGAGCAUUUCUCUGUAAGGAAAGGAAACGCUCAAGGAUGGGCCCGCGUCCCAUUAGCUAGUUGGUGAGGUAACGGCCCACCAAGGCGACGAUGGGUAGCCGGCCUGAGAGGGUGAACGGCCACACUGGGACUGAGACACGGCCCAGACUCCUACGGGAGGCAGCAGUUGGGAAUCUUCGGCAAUGGGCGCAAGCCUGACCGAGCAACGCCGCGUGAGUGAUGAAGGUUUUCGGAUUGUAAAGCUCUGUCUUCCGGGACGAUAAUGACGGUACCGGAGGAGGAAGCCACGGCUAACUACGUG
rnacentral:rRNA from 1 species